CUCAAGCUAAAGAAGAUGGUCAUAAUGAUGAAGGUGCAGUCUGAUGUGGAUCUCACUGACUCCACUACUUCCAGUCUAAUCCUACAGAAGUUGGAGACAAUCCUGAGUGAACAAGGGCUGACUGAUGUCCAACUUAAAUAUGAACGUGUAUUUCAACCUCAGUUGAAGACCACUGAGAACACGGGAUGCUGAGUGCAGAAGUGCCAAUGUCGUUUUACUGCAACAUUAGUGGUUAUAGUGGUUUGUAGAGCUG